ACUCGACGAGUUGGACCCCCAGACAGCAUAUAUUCGACUUUUUUGGCUGGAAUUGGACUAGGAACAUUACCCUAAGAUGUUUUUGGACUUAUAAACUUGUUUUUGAUGUGGUAAUGUUCAUGCUAAUCCAAUUUCAAAGAUAAUUUUCAAUAGAUUCAUGUUUUGUAUUAGUUUAAAAGUUAUGCUAAUUACAUGGAAAAGUUUGAUUUUUAUGGGUUGCUUAGAUUAAUAGAAAGGUUGAUUGAUUAUGUGUCUUUGAUCCAUUUGAAUCUAAGAAUGUUUUUGGACUUAUAAACUUGUUUUUGAUGUGGUAAUGUUCAUGCUAAUCCAAUUUCAAAGAUAAUUUUCAAUAGAUUCAUGUUUUGUAUUAGUUUAAAAGUUAUGCUAAUUACAUGGAAAAGUUUGAUUUUUAUGGGUUGCUUAGAUUAAUAGAAAGGUUGAUUGAUUAUGUGUCUUUGAUCCAUUUGAAUCUAAGAAUUGAUUCUAAAAUGUGAUUGUGUAACUUGUCCUCAAGUUACAUGAAAAGUCACAUUAAAGAUUCUUAAAACUCAUAAAAGAUGGCAAGGGUUACAAAAUGAAGAGUCUUGUUCUCAUUAAAUGGUUUUAUGACUCCAUAACUUGUCCUCAAGUUAU
rnacentral:lncRNA from 1 species